rnacentral:rRNA from 1 species
CCUACGGGUGGCUGCAGUCGAGAAUCAUUCACAAUGGGGGAAACCCUGAUGGUGCGACGCCGCGUGGGGGAAUGAAGGUCUUCGGAUUGUAAACCCCUGUCAUGUGGGAGCAAAUUAAAAAGAUAGUACCACAAGAGGAAGAGACGGCUAACUCUGUGACAGCAGCCGCGGUAAUACAGAGGUCUCAAGCGUUGUUCGGAAUCACUGGGCGUAAAGCGUGCGUAGGCUGUUUCGUAAGUCGUGUGUGAAAGGCGCGGGCUCAACCCGCGGACGGCACAUGAUACUGCGAGACUAGAGUAAGGGAGGGGGAACCGGAAUUCUCGGUGUAGCAGUGAAAUGCGUAGAUAUCGAGAGGAACACUCGUGGCGAAGGCGGGUUCCUGGACAUUAACUGACGCUGAGGCACGAAGGCCAGGGGAGCGAAAGGUAUUAGAUACCCUGGUAGUC